rnacentral:lncRNA from 1 species
GGGUUGCGCUGGGGUGGGUGUCCAGCGCUGUAGGAGGAACGCGGUGGGAGGAAGGCUUGCGGGCGUGCGGACUCGGUUUCGGGCCGAGCGCUUUGAAGAAUUUUGCAGAACCCUGCUACCUACAGACUCUGCCAUGGACAUCAUGUAAAGAAACCCCGGAUGUAGUAACGGACAAAACAUGUGUCAGUUUGUGUUGUGGCAUUCAGAUCCGAGCACACUGGGAGAGAAGUGAUUCUGAAUGGAGAAGACGUAGGACCGGUCAGUGGUAGGAUGGACUGUGCUUGGAAGACAGGUACCUGGAGCUCUCAGUUUGGACUAGGCUGGCUGGCAGUAAGCCCCCAGGAUUCUCCUGUUCUCACACUAGAGGCAUCAAGUUUGUGAAGACCAUGGCCCAUCCUUAUGCAUUCAAGAGUUGAGUGUGGAUGACUUGGAGCUGAAAAACCCCUUCAGAAGCUUCAUGUGUCACGUGCAUUGAAGCUCUGCAUUAAACCCGCUCGCACAAGUAAAUGCUCAAAGGGACUGAAGGCCAUUAGUACAGUUUUUAUGUCUCUUUCUUCUACUUCAGUUUCUUUAGCCAUCAGGGUCCUUAAUGUUUCUUAUCUUACUAUAGUAAAGACUCAGAGAAAGGCUCCUUUCCAUGAAGUAGUAUGUUCUGUGGCCACACGCCUUUAUUAGUGGAGAUGGGCAUUUUCACUUGAGUCUUUUGUUACAGCCUAUUAAAAAUUUGAUUCAGUAAUGUGAAAGUGAGGAUUAAAUAUCAAAAAAUUACAAUAUUAGAGAUGUAUGUGCUUAACAUGUGCAAAGCCCCAGGUCCAGUCUGCUGCAUUGUGUGGGGUGGUUAGGGGCUGUGUGGAUGUGCAAAGCCCCAGGUCCAGUCUGCUGCACCUUUCUGCGCAUUUUAAUCCCUGGAGAUUCAUUUCAUUCCCUUCAUACCUGUGAGGAAGGAGUUAGUACUAAUAUCAAUACAUCUGGUUUAAUUGAAAUAUUUUGUGUUUCAUAAAAUAUAGAAAGCCAGGUAGCCUGUGCUACUGUCUAUCCUGAUACUUAGAACACCUAAGAAUUGUUCAACUUCAACUUAUUAGGAAAAUUAUGCUAAGUGUUUUACUUUAUUUUGGUGUGUGUGUGUGUGUGUAUGAAUAUAUGUAUAAGAGAGGGUGUGUGUGAGUGAGCCUGUGUGUGAGUGAGCAUGCUUGAGUAUGUGUUGUGUGUGUGUGUUAUCACUCCUCAUGUGCCAUCUGUCUUUUUUGUUUGUUUGACAUAGAGUCUCUCAUUGGUCUGGAACUGGCCAGUGGCCAAGUAGACCAGGCUGGCUGGCCAGUGAGCCUCAGGGAUCUGCCUGGUUCUACCUCCCCAGCUCUGAGAUUAUAAACCCACACCAGGAUGUUAGAUCCUCUUUCUUUCAGAACACACUUUACUGACUAAGCUAACUUCUUAGCUCCCUGUGUGGUUUUGUUUUUGUUUUUGAGACUUAGGAGCUUGGUGUUCUCUAAAGGAGAAAAUGCCAGUUUCCCCUUUCUCUUAGUUGAGUUUAGGUUAAUGAUUUAAGAUGCAUGUCACUGUAAUUAGCUUGUUUAGUUGUUUCUUUGAAGACAUCAGUGGUUACCAGUAAGUAGGUGACUGCUAUAGUACUCCUGGACAGUAGGGAGUGCUUUCGUCCAGAGGGUAUACAUUCUGAUUCAUGGUGAGGAAAUGUUUAUUCAUCUUAGUGUGUAUAUAUGUGUGUGUGUGUGUGUGUGUUAUAUGUGUGCUGGUGCACUUCUCUCUCUCUUUCUGUGUGUGUGUGUGUGAGUAUGAGUGUGAGUGUGAGAGAGACCCAGCUUUAUGUGGCUGUUGAGAAUCUGAACUCAGGUCUUUGUGCUUUUAUAGCAAUCAUUGUACUGAACCAUCUCUGAAACACUUUACUUGGUGCCUUGGAAUUGUUUAAAUUUAACAGAAGGCGAUACAAAGUGUUGAUUUUUCUCCUUAUACAAAUUACAUAAAUGCAUAUAAUCCCAGUGAUGUAAAUAUUUGUCAAGAAAUGUAAAAUGUGGACAGGAGUGACGUGUUGCCUAGUCAUAACCAAGCUUCUUGCGUUGGUGGAGACAGAACGAAUUGCAUAGACUUUGAGAAUUGAGCCUGCCAGAAACAAGACAGUUGGCCUCUGAUGGAGAAGCUGGCCUCUGAUGGAGAAGCUGGCCUCUGAUGGAGAAGCUGGCCUCUGAUGGAGAAGCUUCUUACUGCCUGUGGCUGACUUUCUUCUUCCUUGACCCCUCCCCUGAACCCGAAACUCCUCACAUUGAUCUCUAUGACCUUGCAUGUAGAAAUACUAGCUACCAGUGAAAAAGCCCAAGAGACACUAAUUGGAUAUUUUGACUGUCCUUGGUCUGUACACCCUGCCCUUAUGAAUCUAGUAUCUGCCACUGGCCUUUCUUUUCUACCUUCUAAAUACCUUUAAACUCCCUCUUUCAGGUAUACCUGUACCUUACUCUGUUGUCAGAUUUCCUGAACCUCUGUAAAAGCCUCUCGAUUGGUUCUCUAUAUUUACUCUUCCUUCCCUUCUCUCAUCUCGCUGCAUUCAGAGGAAUCUUCUUUUUGAUCCUCUGAUUUAAGUUCUUGAUGUUUUAUUGCCUCAGUCUGUUAAGCAACAGCAGCAGUGUCCCCUAUUCCACUUUUCCCCCUUGUGUCUCUGAUGGUUUCAAUAAGAAAGGACCCUCGUAUGCACUGUUUAGGGCGUGCAGUCUUGCUGGGGGAAAGUGUGUCACUGGGGGAAGCAUUUGAGAGCUUAAGGCUCCAUCCUACUUCAAGUUUGCUCUCAGCUUGGACUAGUGGUUAAGAUGAGAGAUGCUAGCUUCUUUUUUCCUGCCUCUGCUGCCAUGCCCUUCCAUAAUGGACUCUUAGCCCUUUGGAAAUGUAAGCCCAAAUAAACUCUUUCUUUUUU